rnacentral:sRNA from 1 species
UAACAGCCUGCCCACCCUGGAA